CACCGCCCGUCGCUACUACCGAUUGAAUGGCUUAGUGAGGCCUUCGGACUGCUCCAGAAAAUGGGAAACCAUUAUCAGGAGCUGGAAAGUUGGUCAAACUUGGUCAUUUAGAGGAAGUAAAAGUCGUAACAAGGUUUCCGUAGGGUACCGCAAGAAA
rnacentral:ncRNA from 1 species